UAAGGCGGAAGCUCAUCGGUGGGGCUUCGAGCUGAGUGCCUUGCGUCACUCUACCCCAUGUUCCCUGGGAAGGUCUGAAACUAGGGCCAUAAAGUGGCCCUAACAAGGUCCUCCUUGAGUCUCGGGAGGUGAGUUCCCAAUUAGGUGUUUAAUCUAUUUUGAGUCUGUUUUUGUGUAAGAAAGUGAUCCAGGUUCAUUUUUGUGCAUGUCACUGUCUAGUUUUCCUAGCACCACUUGCUGAAGAGACUGUCUUUAUUCCAUUGAAUAUUCUUUCCUGCUUU
rnacentral:lncRNA from 1 species